GACGAACGCUGGCGGCGUGCUUAACACAUGCAAGUCGAACGGAAAGGCCCUGCUUUUGUGGGGUGCUCGAGUGUCGAACGGGUGAGUAACACGUGAGUAACCUGCCCUUGACUUUGGGAUAACUUCAGGAAACUGGGGCUAAUACCGGAUAGGAGCUCCUGCUGCAUGUUGGGGGUUGGAAAGUUUCGGCGGUUGGGGAUGGACUCGCGGCUUAUCAGCUUGUUGGUGGGGUAGUGGCUUACCAAGGCUUUGACGGGUAGCCGGCCUGAGAGGGUGACCGGCCACAUUGGGACUGAGAUACGGCCCAGAGUCCUACGGGAGGCAGCAGUGGGGAAUAUUGCACAAUGGGCGGAAGCCUGAUGCAGCAACGCCGCGUGCGGGAUGACGGCCUUCGGGUUGUAAACCGCUUUCGCCUGUGACGAAGCGUGAGUGACGGUAAUGGGUAAAGAAGCACAGGCUAACUACGUG
rnacentral:rRNA from 1 species